AACGAACGCUGGCGGCAGGCUUAACACAUGCAAGUCGAACGGAUGUAGCAAUACAUUAGUGGCGCACGGGUGAGUAAUACUUGGGAACGUGCCUUUCAGUCGGGAAUAACAGCGGGAAACUGCUGCUAAAACCCGAUACUCCCUCCGGGGGAAAGUUUACGCUGAAAGAUCGGCCCAAGCCAGAUUAGGUAGUUGGUGAGGUAAUGGCUCACCAAGCCUACGAUCUGUAGCUGGUCUGAGAGGACGACCAGCCACACUGGAACUGAGACACGGUCCAGACUCCUACGGGAGGCAGCAGUGGGGAAUAUUGGACAAUGGGGGAAACCCUGAUCCAGCCAUGCCG
rnacentral:rRNA from 1 species